GUCGCUUAAAGAAACCAAGGCCUCCUCUUCGGCAGGUAAGGGCAUCCCAAUUGGGCAGCAAGGCAUGCAGAUAGAGCCUUUCGGACUGCCAGGCCCUCGAUAGUCAUCUCUAAAGAGAAGGGAGGUGGUUACAAAGAAACAUACUCAACGCAGAAGGAAUGAACACACGGCGGAACGUCACUGUCGGCAAAUCCAGCGCUUUGAGCAGUCUGAGGCAGGAGAGUCACUGGUUCAAGGCUGAAAAUGUAGUUGUUCAUAGAGUGCUUGCCUAGCAUGCAUGAAGUCCCAGGUUCAAGCCUCAGCAGCAUAGAAACAAACAAACAAAACUCAGGACAUACCGACUCACACUUGGAAUCCCAGCAUUGGGAACAGAACACAGGAGGAUUACUGUGAGCUGGAGGCCAGCCAGGACUACAUAGCAAGACCCCUCCUAUCCCUCUAAAAUUUCUGUUUUAAAAAAGGAAUUCAUUUUAUUUUAAUAAGUUUUUAUUAUUCCUUUAUGUGUAUGACUGUUUAUAUCUGUGUACCGUGUAUGUGCCUGAAGUCUGGGGAGGUAAGAAGAGGGCAUUAGAUCCCCUGGAACUGGAGUUACUACCAGAUGUGAUGCCAUGUAGGUGCUGGGAACCAAACCAGGUCCGCUGCGAGAAACGUUCUUGACCAUUAAGCUCUCUCUUCAUCCCCCAGUAAAUGCUUUUGGAAAUUUUAUUUAUUUAUGUGUGUGUGUAGGUCAGAGGACACUCACCAGAGUUGAUUCUCUUCUUCCGCCCUAUGGGUUUUGGGAAUUGAACUCAGGUUGUCUUAGCAGUAAGUACCUUUAUUGGCUGAACCAUCUUACCUGUAAUAAAACAGUCUUAGGACUGGGUUCAAUCCCUGGCACUGCCUAAAAUGCCACAUACCUGUAGUUUCAGCACUCAGAAAGGGGCAACAGAAGUGUCAGGGGUUCAACUCAACUACAUGAGACCCUGUCUCCAAAAACCAAAUUAAAAAGUUUAAAGUGCAUAA
rnacentral:lncRNA from 1 species